UACGUAGGGUGCGAGCGUUAAUCGGAAUUACUGGGCGUAAAGCGUGCGCAGGCGGUUCUCCAAGUCCGUUGUGAGAGCCCCGGGCUCAACCUGGGAAUGGCAGUGGAAACUAGGGGACUGGAAUCUGGCAGAGGGGGGUGGAAUGCCGCGUGUAGCAGUGAAAUGCGUAGAGAUGCGGCGGAACACCGAUGGCGAAGGCAGCCCCCUGGGCUGAGAUUGACGCUCAGGCACGAAAGCGUGGGGAGCAAACAGG
rnacentral:rRNA from 1 species